rnacentral:rRNA from 1 species
CAGUCGCCACGGGAAUACGGAGGGGGCUAGCGUUGUUCGGAAUUACUGGGCGUAAAGCGCACGUAGGCGGCUUUGUAAGUCAGAGGUGAAAGCCCGGGGCUCAACCCCGGAAUUGCCUUUGAGACUGCAUCGCUUGAAUCCAGGAGAGGUGAGUGGAAUUCCGAGUGUAGAGGUGAAAUUCGUAGAUAUUCGGAAGAACACCAGUGGCGAAGGCGGCUCACUGGACUGGUAUUGACGCUGAGGUGCGAAAGCGUGGGGAGCAAACAGGAUUAGAUACCCGAGUAGUCCCUGUCUCUUAUAC